UUUUUUUUUUUAGACAGAGUCUUGCUCUGUUGCCCAGGCUGGAGUGCAGUGAUCUCAGCUCACUGGAAGCUCCGCCUCCUGGGUUCAAGCGAUUCUCCUAUCUCAACCUCCCAAGUGUGCCACCACACCUGCCGAAUUUUUGUGUUUUUAGUAGAGAUGGGGUUCGCCAUGUUGGGCAGGCUGGUCUCAAACUCCUGACCUCAAGUGAUCUGCCCGCCUCGGCCUCCCAGAGUGCUGGGAUUAUAGGCUUGAGCCACCAUGCCUGGACAUGACCCUGUCUCUAAAACGAUGUAAUGAAUUGCAGCUCAUUCUUGUGUGCACUUUUCUGCACCCCCUUUCCCUUAACACUUACUAUUGUCUGGCAUGCUACGUGUUUUCUUGAUCUCAUUAGUCUCUCCCACCCCAACUGCCAUACUGCACUAUCAGAGGGCAGCACUUAUCACUGCUGUAGAACAAAGUCCUGCACAGAGCCGAUGGCCCAGAAAUUUUCUUUUUAUUUAUUUGUUUUUUUUUUUUUUUUGAGACGGAGUCUUACUCUGUCGCUCAGGCUGGAGUGUAGUGGCGCGAUCUCAGCUCACUGCAACCUCUGCCUCCUGGUUUCAAGCAAUUCUCCUUCCUCAGCCUCCAGAGUAGCUGGGAUUACACGCGCCUGCCACUGCGCCCGGCUAAUUUUUGUAUUUUUAGUAGAGAUGGGGUUUCGACCAUGUUGGCCAGGCUGGUCUCAAACUCCUGACCUCAGGUGAUCCUGCCCACCUAAGCCUCCCAAAAUGCUGGUAUUACAGGCAUGAGCCACCGUGCCCGGCCUAAAUAUUUAAUAAAAUAAUGGACGAUGGGUGCCUUCUACUGAGCUCCCGGUAAUUGUGAGUGAGUAGAGGACUUGCCCUGGGGAAAUUCAGUGACCUGCUGGGUGUUGCUGAGCUGUGAGGAAGUUCAGGUCUGGCUGCAGUGGUGAGGCUGUGACUCAAUCAAUCACUGCUGAUGCUCCCAGGACCUGCACCAGCUUAGUCCCAGGGGCAAGGAUUUUAACUGUCCACCUCAGUUUCUUCAUUUGUAAGAUGCAAAUAACAGUCACCCCUGCCUCAUGGGAUGGAGCUUGUAAUGCCCGCAACAGUGCCUGCUGCACAGAGGGGCUUGCUGCCAGCUCCCUCUCCCUCCUUGUCUCUUACCUGCCUGCUGCCUGGGACAGGAUGAAGAGGGGCCCUUGUGUUGCCCCCACCCUGGCUGCCUGCUAAGGGCCCAUGUGAUCUGCCUGGCAGAGGAGUUUCUUCAGGAAGAACCAGGGCAGCUUCUGCCCCUAGAGGGCCAAUGCCCUUGCUGUGAGAAGUCACUGCUUUGGGGAGACCUGAUCUGGCUGUGCCAGAUGGACACUGAGAAAGAAGUAGAAGACUCAGAAUUAGAAGAGGAACAUGGAGCUGAUCCAGGACACCUCCCGCCCGCCACUGGAGUACGUGAAGGGGGUCCCGCUCAUCAAGUACUUUGCAGAGGCGCUGGGGCCCCUGCAAAGCUUCCAGGCCCGGCCUGAUGACCUGCUCAUCAGCACCUACCCCAAGUCUGGCACCACCUGGGUGAGCCAGAUACUGGACAUGAUCUACCAGGGCGGCGAUCUAGAGAAGUGUAACCGGGCUCCCAUCUACAUGCGGGUGCCCUUCCUUGAGGUCAAUGAUCCAGGGGAACCCUCAGGGAUGGAGACUCUGAAAGACACACCGCCCCCACGGCUCAUCAAGUCACACCUGCCCCUGGCUCUGCUCCCUCAGACUCUGUUGGAUCAGAAGGUCAAGGUGGUCUAUGUUGCCCGAAACCCAAAGGACGUGGCGGUCUCCUACUACCAUUUCCACCGUAUGGAAAAGGCGCACCCUGAGCCUGGGACCUGGGACAGCUUCCUGGAAAAGUUCAUGGCUGGAGAAGUGUCCUACGGGUCCUGGUACCAGCACGUGCAGGAGUGGUGGGAGCUGAGCCGCACCCACCCUGUUCUCUACCUCUUCUAUGAAGACAUGAAGGAGAACCCCAAAAGGGAGAUUCAAAAGAUCCUGGAGUUUGUGGGGCGCUCCCUGCCAGAGGAGACCGUGGACUUCAUGGUUCAGCACACGUCGUUCAAGGAGAUGAAGAAGAACCCUAUGACCAACUACACCACCGUCCCCCAGGAGCUCAUGGACCACAGCAUCUCCCCCUUCAUGAGGAAAGGCAUGGCUGGGGACUGGAAGACCACCUUCACCGUGGCGCAGAAUGAGCGCUUCGAUGCGGACUAUGCGGAGAAGAUGGCAGGCUGCAGCCUCAGCUUCCGCUCUGAGCUGUGAGAGGGGCUCCUGGAGUCACUGCAGAGGGAGUGUGCGAAUCUACCCUGACCAAUGGGCUCAAGAAUAAAGUAUGAUUUUUGAGUCAGGC
rnacentral:sRNA from 1 species